AGAGUUUGAUCCUGGCUCAGGAUGAACGCUGGCGGCGUGCUUAACACAUGCAAGUCGAACGGACCCAUAUUGAAACCUAGUGAUAUAUGGGUUAGUGGCGGACGGGUGAGUAACGCGUGGGUAACCUGCCUUACACAGGGGGAUAACACUUAGAAAUAGGUGCUAAAACCGCAUAAGCGCACAGCUUCGCAUGAAGCGGUGUGAAAAACUCCGGUGGUGUAAGAUGGACCCGCGUCUGAUUAGCUUGUUGGCGGGGUAACGGCCCACCAAGGCGACGAUCAGUAGCCGGCCUGAGAGGGCGGACGGCCACAUUGGGACUGAGACACGGCCCAGACUCCUACGGGAGGCAGCAGUGGGGAAUAUUGCACAAUGGGGGAAACCCUGAUGCAGCGACGCCGCGUGAGUGAAGAAGUAAUUCGUUACGUAAAGCCCUAUCAGCAGGGAAGAAAUACUGACCUUACGGUCAGCAGACGGUACCUGAGUAAGAAGCCCCGGCUAACUACGUG
rnacentral:rRNA from 1 species